CUCUAGCAAGACUGCCGGUGACAAACCGGAGGAAGGUGGGGAUGACGUCAAAUCAUCAUGCCCCGUAUGACCUGGGCUACACACGUGCUACAAUGGGAAGUACAAAGAGUUGCGAAGUCGCGAGGCUAAGCUAAUCUCUUAAAGCUUCUCUCAUUUCGGAUUGCAGGCUGCAACUCGCCUGCAUGAAGCCGGAAUCGCUAGAAAUCGCGGAUCAGCACGCCGCGGUGAAUAGGUUCCCGGGCC
rnacentral:rRNA from 1 species